rnacentral:lncRNA from 1 species
CCGGAAGAGGUGGUGCCGUUGCUUUCACGCAUGCGCUGUACGUCUGCACAUGCGUAGUGCUCCAGGGCGGCGGAACAGGGUGACCCUGAGUAUUGAGACCCCGCAGCGAUGCUCAGCAGAUUUCUAGGCCCGCGCUACCGAGAACUGGCCAAAAACUGGAUCCCCACAGCCGGCAUGUGGGGCACUGUGGGUGCCGUGGGACUGGUGUGGGUCACGGACUGGCGGCUGAUCCUGGACUGGGUGCCGUACAUCAAUGGCAAGUUUAAGAAGGACGAUUAGGCAGCCCCCUCCCCCACCACAGGCCUCGAUGCUGCUGGGCUGGCCUUGUUCAUGAAGCCGGUACUGAAGAGCCAUUGUCAGCUGUGGACAUCCAGCAGAGCUGGUGCCUGAGCCCUGGGUAGCAUGCGCUGAGGCCUCAGAAACAGCUUAGUCCUGUGGAGGACACGGAGGAAGAAGUCUGCAUCGAUCUGGGGAGCUCCUGCCUUGACGGGUGCAGCAUUAAACCUUGUUCGUACGCCUUGGACGCCUGGCUCCCUCUACGUCAUCUCCCUUGAGGAUUUCCCAGCUCAAGAAUCCUUUGAGCUCCCAACACUUGCAUGUCGGGAGAGUCUAAUGUCAGGCAGAAAUCCUUAUUACACUCAAGUAUUUUCUGGAUGGAAACGGCACACUGUGUUCUCUGCAGCUGGUCCGAUAAGUCACUCUCGGCUUCAAUGCUUUUAAAUUAUUCAGGGCCCCUAUGGCAACCAUACCCAACCAGAGCAGGGCUUCUUCCUUCCUGGUUCUGUCUGUUUCUAAGGCAAAGUUUUAUAUAACCCAGGCUGGCCUCAAACUCAGUAUAUACCAAAGUCUGACCGUAAACUUCUCAUCCUCCUGCAUCUGUCUGUCAAGUGCUAGGGCAGCACUGCCAUGCCUGGUGUUCGUGGUGCCGAGGAUGGCCCCUGGGGCUUCUCGUGUGCUAAGUGGGAGGUGUGGCAGAUGACCCACAGCCACAGCCUCUGGUAAAACUGCUGUGCCCGUCCCGGCACAUACAUCUCCGUGCUUCAGAAGCUGGUACAGUCAGAUUCCCAGGAGUCCGACAGUGUGGACUAAGUGAUUCCUUGAGACAAGAACAGUGGCACUUGUCUUCCCAGCACUCUGGACAUUAGGUCAAGAGGACCAAGAGUUCCAGGUCAUCCUCUGACACCCGGAGAGGCCAGCCUAGGCUACUUAAGAC